ACGGGGCGCAGCAGGCGCGAAACCUCCGCAAUGCGCGAAAGCGUGACGGGGUCACCCCGAGUGCCAUCCGCUGAGGGUGGCUUUUGCCCGGUGUAAUGAGCCGGGUGAAUAAGGGGAGGGCAAGUCUGGUGUCAGCCGCCGCGGUAAUACCAGCUCCUCGAGUGGUUGGGACGAUUAUUGGGUUUAAAGCGUUCGUAGCCGGCCGGAAAAGUUCUUCGUUAAAUCCGACGAUCCAAUCGUUGGGCUGCGGGGAAUACUUUUCGGCUUGGGGGCGGGGGAGGUCGGCGGUAGUCCCGGGGUAGGGGCGAAAUCCUAUAAUCCCGGGAGGACCACCAGUGGCGUAGGCGGCCGACUAAAACGCGCCCGACGGUGAGGGACGAAAGCUGGGGGAGCGAACGGGAUUAGAUAUGGACAUUAAAAGUCCACUAAAUACCCCGGUAGUCCCAGCUGUAAACGAUGCAGGCUAGGUGUUGGGACGGCUACGGGCCGUCUCAGUGCCGCAGGGUAACCAUUAAGCCUGCCACCUGGGAAGUACGGCCGCAAGGCUGAAACUUAAAGGAAUUGGCGGGGGAGCACCACAAGGGGUGAAGCUUGCGGUUUAAUUGGAGUCAACACCGGGAACCUUACCAGGAGCGACAGUUGGAUGAAGGUCAGAUUGAAGGUCUUACCGGACUAGCUGAGAGGAGGUGCAUGGCCGUCGCCAGUUCGUGCCGUGAGGUGUCCUCUUAAGUGAGACGACGAACGAGACCCGCACCAUCAGUUGCCAGCGGUUUCCCUCGGGAUUCUGGGCACACUGAUGGGACUGCCUCCGCUAAGGAGGAGGAAGGAGCGGGCCACGGCAGGUCAGUAUGCCCCAAAUCUCCUGGGCCACACGCGAGCUGCAAUGGCUGGUACAAUGGGAUCUGACCUCGAGAGAGGAAAGUAAUCCUCAAAACCAGCCUCAGUUGGGAUCGAGGGCUGAAACCCGCCCUCGUGAACAUGGAAUCCCUAGUAACCGCGUGUCAUCAUCGCGCGGUGAAUACGUCCCUGCUCCUUGCACACACCGCCCGUCGCUCCAUCCGAGUUUGGCUUAGGCGAGGCAUGAUCUUCUUGGUCAUGUCGAGCCUAAACUAGGCAAGGAGGGAGAAGUCGUAACAAGGUAGCCGU
rnacentral:rRNA from 1 species